rnacentral:rRNA from 1 species
AUUGAACGCUGGCGGCAGGCCUAACACAUGCAAGUCGAACGAAGUCUUCGGACUUAGUGGCGGACGGGUGAGUAACACGUGGGAACGUGCCUUUAGGUUCGGAAUAACUCAGGGAAACUUGUGCUAAUACCGAAUGUGCCCUUCGGGGGAAAGAUUUAUCGCCUCUAGAGCGGCCCGCGUCUGAUUAGCUAGUUGGUGAGGUAAUGGCUCACCAAGGCUACGAUCAGUAGCUGGUCUGAGAGGAUGACCAGCCACAUUGGGACUUCGACACGGCCCAAAGUCCUACGGGAGGCAGCAGUGGGGAAUCUGGCGGAAUGGGCGAAAGCCUGACGCAGCCAGGCCGCGUGGAUGAUGAAGGUCUUAGGAUUGUAAAAUCCUUUCACCGGUGAAGAUAAUGACUGUAGCCGGAGAAGAAGCCCCGGCUAACUUCGUGCCAGCAGCCGCCGUAACAC